rnacentral:rRNA from 1 species
GACGUAGGGCGCGAGCGUUGUCCGGAUUUAUUGGGCGUAAAGAGCUCGUAGGCGGCUUGUCGCGUCGAAUGUGAAAACUCGGGGCUCAACUCCGAGCUUGCAUUCGAUACGGGCAGGCUAGAGUUCGGUAGGGGAGACUGGAAUUCCUGGUGUAGCGGUGAAAUGCGCAGAUAUCAGGAGGAACACCGGUGGCGAAGGCGGGUCUCUGGGCCGAUACUGACGCUGAGACGCGAAAGCGUGGGGAGCAAACGGG